UGCAAAUAUGGUCGACAACACCGUUUCCACUUUGACGCUUUGCCUUGAAAAUCAUUUAUCUGUUUGUAAACGUUCAAGUCGAUUAUGUCUUACAUAUGGUAGUAGUCGAUUAUUUGGAGUCGGCUUUCUGCUGGAGAAAACCACCGGCUUGUGAAUUUUCAUACGUUUUUAGAACAGCGUUUUUACAAAUAUAAUAGUGACCACCUUACAUAUAAUACAUGAACUACAGUUAGACUUCACAGACGAGCAAGUGCAACGGAAGGUGUAUGUUAAGAGCUAGGCGGCACAACUAUUGUGGUUUUUAGAAGCAAAGGCAAGUAUGGGCGUAUUUCUACCAUUAUCACAUGUGGUUCUACGGACAAUUUCAUAGAUGACAUUGAGCGUGCUGUGUAUGAUGGUGCAAAUACCUAGUUAAGUGUUUGACAUGUGACGGUCUAGUGCUGCUACCACUGAAAUCAAAUUAGUCUUCCGAACUGGCUGUCCACGUCGAUAUCUUACCCGGUCUAGAACAAUAUGCUGUGCGUAGAUGCAUGCGCAACACCUACACGAGCAAGUCCUCGCGAUUUACGUCUACAAUUACACUGCGCCCACUUUCUUCAUAUUUCCGCUCCGGUUCAUUACUGCGACGCGUUGUAUUGGUAUACGUAAAUUUACAAACAAUCACAAUUACUAAUCUACUAUCAAUAUAUGAAAUUUUUCGAUGUUUUAGUUUUAGACCAUAUGAAUGCAUUUUCCUAACUCUUACUAAUAUUAAGGACGCCAAUUAUAUUAAUGUAGACAAAUUUUAGACUAUAAACUAUUGUAGUAAAUUUGUAAUUUUUGUUGCCAACAAUUUUAACUCUUCUAACUCCAAUUUUUUUCUUAUGUUUGAAAAUGAUCGACUGAACUUCUGCUUUCGCAAUGUCUUUAUGUACAUGUAUUAUUAUGCACGAAAUACGGAAUUAAACUUUCU